CAGCAGCCGCGGUAAUACCGGCGGCCCGAGUGGCGGUCACUAUUAUUGGGCUUAAAGCGUCCGUAGCCGGGGUGGGAAGGCCUCCGGGAAAUCUGGGCGCUUAACGGUCAGAAUGCCGGAGGAUACUCCCAGCCUAGGGAGCGGGGGAGGCCGAGGGGAUUCCCGGAGUAGGGGGGAAAUCCUAUAAUCCCGGGAGGACCACCUGUGGCGCAGGCGCUCGGCUGGAACGCGUCCGACGGUGAGGGACGAAGGCCAGGGGAGCAAACCGGAUUAGAUACCCGGGUAGUCCUGGCUGUAAACGAUGCGGACUUUGUGUCGGACAAGCUAUGAGCUUGUCCGGUGCCGGAGGGAAACCGUUAAGUCCGCCGCCUGGGGAGUACGGCCGCAAGGCUGAAACUUAAAGGAAUUGGCGGG
rnacentral:rRNA from 1 species